ACUAGACAAAAAAGAAUUCAGUCACAAAAAUCAAUUCCAAUCCGACCAAACCUAAAUUUUGACAUACAUGUCUGAUAACAAUUAAAUGAAUCAAUUUUUUCAUUCAAAUCAUAAAGCUGUGACCAUUUCAGAUAUUGUCCAAGCUCUUGUCUGCAGCAGCCUUAUCUGCAUGAGGCUUGGGUGCAUUUUGUGUGGUACAUGAGGAGCAG
rnacentral:lncRNA from 1 species